rnacentral:rRNA from 1 species
CCAGCACCCCGAGUGGUCGGGACGAUUAUUGGGCCUAAAGCAUCCGUAGCCGGUUUUACAAUUCCUCCGUUAAAUCCAACUGCUUAACAGAUGGGCCGCGGAGGAUACUAUAAGACUAGGAGGCAGGAGAGGCAAGCGGUACUCAGUGGGUAGGGGUAAAAUCCGUUGAUCCAUUGAAGACCACCAGUGGCGAAGGCGGCUUGCCAGAAUGCGCUCGACGGUGAGGGAUGAAAGCUGGGGGAGCAAACCGGAUUAGAUACCCGGGUAGUCCCAGCUGUAAACGAUGCAGACUCGGUGAUGGACUAGCUUCAUGCUAGUCCAGUGCCGCAGGGAAGCCGUUAAGUCUGCCGCCUGGGUAGUACGGUCGCAAGACUG